AGUGAACGCUGGCGGUAGGCCUAACACAUGCAAGUCGAACGGCAGCACAGUAAGAGCUUGCUCUUACGGGUGGCGAGUGGCGGACGGGUGAGGAAUACAUCGGAAUCUACUUUUUCGUGGGGGAUAACGUAGGGAAACUUACGCUAAUACCGCAUACGACCUACGGGUGAAAGCAGGGGAUCUUCGGACCUUGCGCGAUUGAAUGAGCCGAUGUCGGAUUAGCUAGUUGGCGGGGUAAAGGCCCACCAAGGCGACGAUCCGUAGCUGGUCUGAGAGGAUGAUCAGCCACACUGGAACUGAGACACGGGCCAGACUCCUAAGGGAGGCAGCAGUGGGGAAUAUUGGACAAUGGGGGCAAGCCUGAUCCAGCCAUACCGCGUUGGUGAAGAAGGCCUUCGGGUUGUAAAGCCCUUUUGGUGGGAAAGAAAAGCAGCAGGGUAAUACCCCGCUGUUCUGACGGUACCCAAAGAAUAAGCACCGGCUAACUUCGUG
rnacentral:rRNA from 1 species